GAUGAACGCUAGCGGCAGGCCUAACACAUGCAAGUCGAGGGGCAUCAUGGCGUAGCAAUACGCUGAUGGCGACCGGCGCACGGGUGCGUAACGCGUAUGGAACCUACCCACCGCAGGGGGAUAACCCGCCGAAAGGCGGACUAAUACCCCAUGGUUCCCCGACCCUGCCUGGGGUUGGGGGUAAAGCCUACGGGCGGCGGUGGAUGGCCCUGCGUGCCAUUAGCUGGCUGGUGGGGUAACGGCCCACCAGGGCGACGAUGGCUAGGGGGUCUGAGAGGACGAUCCCCCCACACUGGUACUGAGACACGGACCAGACUCCUACGGGAGGCAGCAGUGAGGAAUAUUGGUCAAUGGGCGGAAGCCUGAACCAGCCAUGCCGCGUGCAGGAUGACGGCCCUACGGGUUGUAAACUGCUUUUAUAUGGGAGCAAUAAGGUCUACGUGUAGACUGAUGAGAGUACCAUAUGAAUAAGCAUCGGCUAACUCCGUG
rnacentral:rRNA from 1 species